rnacentral:rRNA from 1 species
UGGGUAACCUGCCUCAUAGAGGGGAAUAGCCUUUCGAAAGGAAGAUUAAUACCGCAUAAGAUUGUAACUUCGCAUGAAGUAGCAAUUAAAGGAGUAAUCCGCUAUGAGAUGGACCCGCGUCGCAUUAGCUAGUUGGUGAGGUAACGGCUCACCAAGGCGACGAUGCGUAGCCGACCUGAGAGGGUGAUCGGCCACAUUGGGACUGAGACACGGCCCAGACUCCGUAGGAG